GUUGUGGUGGGGUGUCCCUCUGGUUUUCUUUCCACUUCUUCUCCGCCGACGCUUGGCCUUCCAUGGCUUCCGAUCUUGAGGCCAAAGCCAAAAGAGGCUUUUGUCAAUGAGUACUAUGAGCUUGCCGUUGACCUCCUCACUCAAGCCAUUGGCAUCAACUCUAGCGCCGAGCUCUAUGUGGAUUGGACCCAGGCUAGCAUCAAACUCUGCAACUAUCCAUUAUCAAAAUUCCUCGAAUUACAAUCUUCUUCCUCUAUCGUAAGACGAGUCCAUAAUCGCUUAGUGGGAUCAAGCUCUUCACCAUGGCAUUUGACUGAAGAAGAAGAAGAACAAGGAACCACCCAUUGUCAAAAUUCCUCGGAUGACAACGGUGACGACAGAAAAGCCUCUGCAGCUGCUCACCCUUCACUUUGACAGAUCUAUGUUUGAUCUUCCGCCGCUCUUGAAGUUCCUUCUACAUUCGACGCCUUCUGCCUUCUCCCAGUUUCCUUGCCGCUCGGCAGUCGGUGUGUUUAUGAUUGGCGUUGCUUCAUUUUGUGAUAAAUUUCGACCACCCUGUUCCCAGGCUUUAUAUCCAAUACAAGGUAAGACUUGUAUUUUUUGCUUUAUUUUAUGAAUCAUUUACUCUCUAUGUAUAUUGUUUCUUAAUGUUGUCAGGACCCCAAGUUUGGACAAACAGACCAUUAUUUGAAAUAAUGGUCCGUACAGCUGCUAAUGAUGUUUGCUUUCUUCUCUACAUUUGUCAUCGGAUGAUGGAGAAAUUAAAUGGGCGGUCUCUAUGGUGUCUUAUAGUUCGUGGUACCCUCUGUUGUCGAUGCUUUUGUGUCAACAGAAAUGAUUAUGCUGACUGGCCAUCUCUACCUGCUAUUCCAGGUAAUGGUAUGAUUUGAUGGUUAAGGUGUUUUCAAGGUGAAAUGGUUUCAAUAUGUUCAGAGUUUCUAGACACAGGAACAGACAACUGCUACUGCAUUACAAUGGACUCUGGCAAGUUUGGUGAAGUACCCACAAAUUCAACAUAGGCUUGUGGAUGAAACAAGAGAUGUAAUGGUUGAGAGAGAGAACAAGGAAGUGAGAGAAGAAGAUCUGAGCAAAAUGCCACAUGCUGUGUCAAAGGACAAGGUGUAAAACAAUUACUUGGUGCCCAAGAAUGGGUCUUUGAAUUUUAUGGUGGCAGAGGUGGGGUGGGACCCAGAAGGUGUGGGAGAAUCCAAUGGAGUUCAAGCCUGAGAGAUUCUUGAGCACCGAGAAAAAUAAUGAUAAUAAUGGUGAAACAUUUGAUAUUACAAGAAGUAGAGAGAUAAAGAUGAUGCCUUAUGGUGUUGGGAGAAGAAUGUGUCCAGGUUAUGCAUUAGCGCCGCUCCAUUUGGAAUUCUAUGUGGCCAAUCUUGUAUGGAAAUUCGAAUGGAAAGCUUGUGACGAUGUUGAUUUGUCAGAGAAAGAAGAAUUUACUGUGAUAAGUUGAUAGAUGAUGAAGAUAUUCCUAAGGGAGAAAUCCCUUUGGUUCUUGAUGUUCCCUAAGGAAAGAUGGGACGUGUUAUUGGGAGGAAAGGGACCACAAUUUUGUCAACUAGGGAGUCCUACAAUGUGGAAAUUCUCAUUGGAGGUGCAAAGGGCCCACCUAACAAAGUGGCAAUUAACCAUCCUCUAUUAAUUGUGGCUGCUGCAUUACAAUUGUCAUGGUUCACCUUAUUGGUUGAAGCUUUAGGUUGAAGGGUCCACUUGCGUAUCAAAGCUUGAAAGCCUUCCUAAACAAUGGUUUGUUGGCUGAAUGUUGAUGUUUAUAUUGGCGAAAACUGAAGGUCCAGGUUGGGAUGUGCCUAAAGAAGAAAAGAUGGUAGAACAUCUGUGGCCAAUAAAACCAGACAAUUAUUAUACAAAAGUGUAAUAAGAAUGUUUGGAAAGUUAUUUUAGCACAAC